GGCUCACUCUUCCGUGGUUGCUCGCGUUAGACUGUGUGACUUACAGUGUGGUUGACUUACUGUGUGGUUUAUUGUGUGGUUUAUUGUGUGGUCCGUAGCGAGACGUGAUCUGCUGGAUGCCGAUCUUAACUACUCACGCCGUGCGUCUGGUGACUCUGCGGAGGCAGCCAUCGGCCCCGUGUUCACGACCAGCUAGAAGCCAGUGUGGUAGUAACUACUGAAAUUACCAACCGGUUUUUCUUUGAAGAGGAUGUUUGGUUUCUACCUGAUGAAGACCCAAUUGCCCUGAGGAUGAUCUCCCUCCUCUUUUCAACAGUUGCUAGAGAGACGAAAACAAUACAGAAAUACUUAAGGACUACACAUUCUCACAUGUCCAGUGAUGUUAAUGGUAUGUGUCCUACAUCUUUGAUUUCUUAAACUCUGAAAGGACACAAUAAACUUGCUAUGAACAUGUCCAGGGAGGUACACCCUCCCCCAUUAUUACAUUGUGAACAAAUCUGUGUUGAAAUCAUAAUAAACAAAGGAAACCUUGCUGUCAAAUAAAUUAUGUUAUUAUCACGG